AGGAGAAAAUUGAGCUUUCUCCUCGUUUCCAGAGCGCACCGUCCAGUCAAUAACUGAAUAGGGGAUGAUCAAUUUGUCUUGCAAUAUCCACUUUCUCCCGAUUGCUGGUUAAACCCUAUUUUAACCGACUGGUUCGAACCUUAAGUUGGUGGCGCCGGUAUCCCACCUGUCAUUGCGCACAGUCAGCGAGCAUAGCAUCUGAGAAGAGGCUUCACCCUGGAACUUCACCCUUAAGGGGGAAAGGCUCUCCCCGAGGUACUGUCCCCUUCACGUUUCUUCAACUAACUUAAAGUAUGUGCUCAACUAGUGGGUAUAUAUUAAAGAGAAGAAAGAGUUGUUAGCAAGUUUCGAAGGAGAAGAAAAGGUGAAAUAAGAAGAGUAAAGAAAGAAUUCUUAACAAAGAUUAAUCUUGCGGAUCUUUCGACCCUAUGACUGUGGAAAGAAAGCACGUGAAAACGCCACCGGCUCAACUUCAGGCCGCUAAAGAGGAGGAUGAGGAAAGUAUAGAUAGUGGAUACAAUUGGCGUGGGAUCGGAAUUUCGCUCCUAGUCAUCAUUACGAUAUGCUCUGUAAUUGCUUUAGCCAUACUUAUACUCACUCCAA